AAGUAUUUCGUAACAGAAUCUUCAGCUUGACGAAUUUCUCCAAGCUGGAGAGUUAAUUCAUAAAUUUGGGAUUGGUUGUCCAAAUCAGAAUACAUCUGAGUGACACUUUCCCAAAGAUCUUUUGCAGUAGCAUAACAAAGAUAGUUUGCACCUAUCUCUUCAGUCAUGGAAUUGACUAACCAUUUCAUGACCAUGGAAUUUUC
rnacentral:lncRNA from 1 species